rnacentral:rRNA from 1 species
GACGAACGCUGGCGGCGUGCUUAACACAUGCAAGUCGAACGGAAAGGCCUUUUCGGAGGUACUCGAGCGGCGAACGGGUGAGUAACACGUGGGUGAUCUGCCCUGCACUCUGGGAUAAGCCUGGGAAACUGGGUCUAAUACCGGAUAGGACCGCACUUUAGUGUGUGUGGUGGAAAGUUUUUUCGGUGUAGGAUGAGCCCGCGGCCUAUCAGCUUGUUGGUGGGGUAAUGGCCUACCAAGGCGGCGACGGGUAGCCGGACUGAGAGGUUGGUCGGCCACAUUGGGACUGAGAUACGGCCCAGACUCCUACGGGAGGCAGCAGUGGGGAAUAUUGCACAAUGGGCGCAAGCCUGAUGCAGCGACGCCGCGUGGGGGAUGACGGCCUUCGGGUUGUAAACUCCUUUCGCCAGGGACGAAGCGUUUUGUGACGGUACCUGGAGAAGAAGCACCGGCUAACUACGU